GAUAAAUAGAAGUUUAAUUUUCACUCACAUCUAGUUCAGUGGACCGACUGAAGCAGUUCUCCAACGAGUAACUUGGGGAUUGGGUUUCCUUCAUGAUCUCAUGCUGCUUUCCUAGCAUAUGGCUUUUUCCACAUACCUUACCUCAAUGAAUGGCAUAUACUGUCACAGGGCAUGGACGUGGCUCAAUCUCUUAAAUGUCCUGGCCCAGAAAUGGCAUGUUAUUUCUACUAGAACUUGUAAUCUGACCCCUCCUAAAUGGAUAGGAAAAUGGAGUAGAUUCUUCCCAUAUGCCAGUAAAGUGCAUAGUAUCAGGUAGGAGAGAAAACUAGUCAUCUCAACCAAGCCAGAAACUCCUCAAAGAGGACAAGAUCUAAGUCUGAGUCACCUUUAUAAAACACAGAUGUAUUUGAUAUUUCACAGGUUUAGCGAUUAAUCCAAAUUACUGGGGCAGUAAAUAAUUGAUGAUUUCAAAAGACAAAAGUGAAGAGAGAGACAAAACCAACAAGAAGCAGAGUAGCAGAUAUGGAACACUAGCAGUCAAAACAGUGAAUCAUGGAAGUAUUCAUCACAGGAAGGCCAGAGAAGACCUCUCAGCCCUUCUAUCACUGUUUCUCACCCCUAUCACCAGAAGUUGCAGCCUUGAAAAUAGACCAGGAAGAGUGGCAGUCUGUGUAGCCUGAAUAUGGAACCUACGAAGUACAGACUAGGAAGCUGAGGGAUUCCAUUUUUCACCAGCUAUAAUGCAGCUAAUUUUUAAAGCUAUUUAUUGAACACAAAGACAUCUGAUUGAGCGCUUGGAAGUAUGAAUCUUUCUCUGUCACCCUCAUUCACCACCUAUUUUCAUGGUAUCUUUGUUAAAAUUUGC
rnacentral:lncRNA from 1 species